AACGCUGGCGGCAGGCCUAACACAUGCAAGUCGAGCGAGACCUUCGGGUCUAGCGGCGGACGGGUUAGUAACGCGUGGGAACGUGCCCUUCUCUGCGGAAUAGCCACUGGAAACGGUGAGUAAUACCGCAUACGCCCUUCGGGGGAAAGAUUUAUCGGAGAAGGAUCGGCCCGCGUUAGAUUAGAUAGUUGGUGGGGUAACGGCCUACCAAGUCUACGAUCUAUAGCUGGUUUUAGAGGAUGAUCAGCAACACUGGGACUGAGACACGGCCCAGACUCCUACGGGAGGCAGCAGUGGGGAAUCUUAGACAAUGGGCGCAAGCCUGAUCUAGCCAUGCCGCGUGUGUGAUGAAGGUCUUAGGAUCGUAAAGCACUUUCGCCAGGGAUGAUAAUGACAGUACCUGGUAAAGAAACCCCGGCUAACUCCGUGCCAGCAGCCGCGGUAAUACGGAGGGGGUUAGCGUUGUUCGGAAUUACUGGGCGUAAAGCGCGCGUAGGCGGAUUGGAAAGUUGGGGGUGAAAUCCCGGGGCUCAACCCCGGAACUGCCUCCAAAACUAUCAGUCUAGAGUUCGAGAGAGGUGAGUGGAAUUCCAAGUGUAGAGGUGAAAUUCGUAGAUAUUUGGAGGAACACCAGUGGCGAAGGCGGCUCACUGGCUCGAUACUGACGCUGAGGUGC
rnacentral:rRNA from 1 species